rnacentral:rRNA from 1 species
UACAGAGGGUGCGAGCGUUAUUCGGAAUUACUGGGCGUAAAGGGCGCGUAGGUGGUUUGGUAAGUUCGAUGUGAAAUCCCUGGGCUCAAUCCAGGAAGUGCAUUGGAUACUGCUAGACUAGAGUACAGGAGAGGAGGACGGAAUUCCUGGUGUAGAGGUGAAAUUCGUAGAUAUCAGGAGGAACAACAGAGGCGAAGGCGGUUCUCUGGACUGUAACUGACACUGAGGCGCGAAAGCGUGGGGAGCAAACAGG